AACUCUUAGCGGUGGAUCACUCGGCUCGUGCGUCGAUGAAGAACGCAGCUAGCUGCGAGAACUAAUGUGAUGCAGGACACAUUGAUCAUCGACACUCGAGCGCGCUGCGGCCCGGGUUCCUCCCGGGGGCCACGCCUGUCUGAGGGUCG
ensembl:rRNA 5_8S_rRNA 5.8S ribosomal RNA